rnacentral:rRNA from 1 species
AUUGACCGCUGGCGGCAGGCCUAACACGUGCGUGUCGAGCGUGCUGCGGACGUGUGAGUCCUGUCUGGGAAACUGCCUGAUGGAUGCGGAUAACUACUGGAAACGGUAGCUAAUACCGCAUACCAUCAGAUGUGCCCAGAUGGGAUUAGCUGGUAGGUGGGGUAACGGCUCACCUAGGCGACGAUCCCUAGCUGGUCUGAGAGGAUGACCAGCCACACUGAAACGUAGACACGGUCCAGACUCCUACGGGAGGCAGCAGUGGGGAAUAUUGCACAAUUGGCGCAAGCCUGAUGCAGCCAUGCAGGGUGUGGGAAGAAGGCCUUGGGGGUAUAAAGAACUUUGAGUGGGGAGGCGAGACCCGAAGACGCAGCACCGGCUAACUCCGUGGCAGCCGCCGCGGUAAUAC